rnacentral:rRNA from 1 species
GGCAUGCUGGAGGUAUCAGAAGUGCGAAUGCUGACAUAAGUAACGAUAAAGCGGGUGAAAAGCCCGCUCGCCGGAAGACCAAGGGUUCCUGUCCAACGUUAAUCGGGGCAGGGUGAGUCGACCCCUAAGGCGAGGCCGAAAGGCGUAGUCGAUGGGAAACAGGUUAAUAUUCCUGUACUUGGUGUUACUGCGAAGGGGGGACGGAGAAGGCUAUGUUGGCCGGGCGACGGUUGUCCCGGUUUAAGCGUGUAGGCUGGUUUUCCAGGCAAAUCCGGAAAAUCAAGGCUGAGGCGUGAUGACGAGGCACUACGGUGCUGAAGCAACAAAUGCCCUGCUUCCAGGAAAAGCCUCUAAGCAUCAGGUAACAUCAAAUCGUACCCCAAACCGACACAGGUGGUCAGGUAGAGAAUACCAAGGCGCUUGAGAGAACUCGGGUGAAGGAACUAGGCAAAAUGGUGCCGUAACUUCGGGAGAAGGCACGCUGAUAUGUAGGUGAAGUCCCUUGCGGAUGGAGCUGAAAUCAGUCGAAGAUACCAGCUGGCUGCAACUGUUUAUUAAAAACACAGCACUGUGCAAACACGAAAGUGGACGUAUACGGUGUGACGCCUGCCCGGUGCCGGAAGGUUAAUUGAUGGGGUCAGCGCAAGCGAAGCUCUUGAUCGAAGCCCCGGUAAACGGCGGCCGUAACUAUAACGGUCCUAAGGUAGCGAAAUUCCUUGUCGGGUAAGUUCCGACCUGCACGAAUGGCGUAAUGAUGGCCAGGCUGUCUCCACCCGAGACUCAGUGAAAUUGAACUCGCUGUGAAGAUGCAGUGUACCCGCGGCAAGACGGAAAGACCCCGUGAACCUUUACUAUAGCUUGACACUGAACAUUGAGCCUUGAUGUGUAGGAUAGGUGGGAGGCUUUGAAGUGUGGACGCCAGUCUGCAUGGAGCCGGCCUUGAAAUACCACCCUUUAAUGUUUGAUGUUCUAACGUGGACCCGUGAUCCGGGUUGCGGACAGUGUCUGGUGGGUAGUUUGACUGGGGCGGUCUCCUCCUAAAGAGUAACGGAGGAGCACGAAGGUUGGCUAAUCCUGGUCGGACAUCAGGAGGUUAGUGCAAUGGCAUAAGCCAGCUUGACUGCGAGCGUGACGGCGCGAGCAGGUGCGAAAGCAGGUCAUAGUGAUCCGGUGGUUCUGAAUGGAAGGGCCAUCGCUCAACGGAUAAAAGGUACUCCGGGGAUAACAGGCUGAUACCGCCCAAGAGUUCAUAUCGACGGCGGUGUUUGGCACCUCGAUGUCGGCUCAUCACAUCCUGGGGCUGAAGUAGGUCCCAAGGGUAUGGCUGUUCGCCAUUUAAAGUGGUACGCGAGCUGGGUUUAGAACGUCGUGAGACAGUUCGGUCCCUAUCUGCCGUGGGCGCUGGAGAACUGAGGGGGGCUGCUCCUAGUACGAGAGGACCGGAGUGGACGCAUCACUGGUGUUCGGGUUGUCAUGCCAAUGGCACUGCCCGGUAGCUAAAUGCGGAAGAGAUAAGUGCUGAAAGCAUCUAAGCACGAAACUUGCCCCGAGAUGAGUUCUCCCUGACCCUUUAAGGGUCCUGAAGGAACGUUGAAGACGACGACGUUGAUAGGCCGGGUGUGUAAGCGCAGCGAUGCGUUGAGCUAACCGGUACUAAUGAACCGUGAGG